AUGGUGGCGGCGGCGCCCUCUGGCGGCGGAGGAGGGGGGAGAUGGUGGCGGCGGCGCCCUCUGGUGGCGGAGGAGGAGGGGGGAGAUGGUGGCGCGGCGGCGACCUUCCCCUCACGCAUCCCAUCCCCCCUCGUCAUCCCGGAUCUCACCGAACCCGAGGCGUGCGGGCGCGGCAGCGACCUGCAAGGGAAGGGCGACGCUCGAAUCGAUCCAGCCAUGGAUCGGUCCCUGCGGGAGAAAGAGAAAAUGAGGACCUCCGUGCUCAACAGGAGGAGCCGGGGUUGCUGA
rnacentral:rRNA from 1 species